GAUGAACGCUGGCGGGCGUGCCUAACACAUGCAAGUCGAACGGACAUUUUUGGAAAGCUCUUCGGAACUGGAAUCUAAAUGUUAGUGGCGGACGGGUGAGUAACGCGUGAGCAAUCUGCCUUUCAGAGGGGGAUAACAGCCGGAAACGGCUGCUAAUACCGCAUAAUGCAUUGGAUUCGCAUGUUUCUGAUGCCAAAGAUUUUAUCGCUGAAAGAUGAGCUCGCGUCUGAUUAGCUAGUUGGCGGGGCAACGGCCCACCAAGGCGACGAUGCGUAGCCGGCCUGAGAGGGCGGACGGCCACACUGGGACUGAGACACGGCCCAG
rnacentral:rRNA from 1 species